GGUGAUUGGAGGAACAAUUGGAUCAUAGGCUUGAUAUGAUGAAUAAAUAAAUGGCCUGGUGACAUUUGGAGUGGCAGCCUUCCAGAUCUGCAAUUGCCAUAAAACUGAAGGGACAAAUAAUGAACCUGGGGUGGAAACACUGGGUUUAGGGACCAUAGAUUUGAUAUUACCUCACCAUCUGAUCAUCAGCCUUGAUUUUCCUCUCUUGGCUGCAUGCAGGGGCUAAAUGCCAGUUCCUUAUCAACUUCAUAAUAGAGACAAGAAGGUGAUGCUUGGAAAGUCCACCAAAGUUUAUGAAGCCUGCAGCAACCGAUAUGCUUAACCUGUACUGUAAUCUUGUUGUUCCAAGUGUCCUUUUAUUAUUAUUAUAAUUAUUAUUUGCUUUUGCUUUUUGGGGGGCUAUACCUGGCAUGUGGAAGUUCCCAGGCUAGGGGUCCAAUUGGAGCUGUAGCUGCUAGCCUACGCCACAGCCACAGCAAUGCGGGAUCCAAGCCUCAUCUGUGACCUACACCAGAGCUCACGGCAAUGCCAGAUCCUUAAUUCAUUGAAUGUGACCAGGGAUCAAACCCUAGAAUUCCCCAAAUGUCCUUAUAACUUAAAAAAGAAAGGAAAAGAAAAAAGAAUAAUCUCAUCUUCUUAGGCCAAUGGAGAUGAUCACUUUUGCUUUGAAUAUGUCAACAAAGGAGCAAGUCAGACCAAGGGAGGAGACCCUGGAGUUCCUGUCGUGGCACAGUAGUUAACGAAUUCAACUAGGAACCAUGAGGUUGCAGGUUCGAUCCCUGGCCUUGCUCAGUGGGUCGAGGAUCCAGCGUUGCCGUGAGCUGUGGUGUAGGUUGCAGACGCGGCUCGGAUCCUGUGUUGCUGUGGCUCUGGCGUAGGCCGGUGGCUAUGGCUCCAAUUAGACCCCUAGCCCAGGAAUCUCAUAUGCCUCAGGAGCGGCCCUCAAAAAAAAAAAAAAAAAAAAAGAGAGGAGACCUUAUGGUCUGAAAAGGAAAAUGAGAACCUUAUUCCUCUUCUAGGAAGAAUUUAAGAAAGAUGAUUUUUUUUUAAUAAUUUUUUUUUUAUUUUCCCACUGUACAGCAAGGGGGUCAGGUUAUCCUUACAUGUAUACAUUACAAUUACAUUUUUCCCCCACCCUUUCUUCUGUUGCAACAUGAGUAUCUAGACAAAGUUCUCAAUGCUAUUCAGCAGGAUCUCCUUGUAAAUCUAUUCUUUUUUUUUUUUUUAAAUCUAUUCUAAGUU
rnacentral:lncRNA from 1 species